UCAAGAUAGCAUUUCUGCAUUUUGAAACAAAAUUGAGUUGCAUAAUAUUUUCAUGUUAGAUCCGAGUGGGGUCAAUCUAAGAUUGGAGAGGAGGGCGGCGCUCUUAAUAUGGAGUAACUGAAUCUUUUUGAUCCUCUUCCGUCGUCAGCAAAAGCGGCAUCCCCAAUGGCAGCCAUUGAAGAUCAGCAUGUAAAAUGAUUCAAUCUAAAUAAUGAUGGAAGAACACCGGAGUCCAUUCCAAUUAGAAGCCUUUUUUUAAUUGGUUUUUUUGAGUCUGUUGCAUCAUUUAAGGGUCUAGGACAAGGAUAAGGAACUUCUGGCAUAUCUUGGUGGCGUGAUAAUGUUACUUCGGCUUUGCUCAAUCAUCAAGAGAUACCCUGUUGAGACCGGGGAAGAAAGCGUGGAAAGGAUAAACAAUCAUCACAAACCCAAGAGGAUCAGUAUUGUUGUGAUCGGUUUUUUAUUAGUUCCGUUCCCUGCAAACCACAAAUUGUGAUGCUCAUUGAAAAGUAAUAUUUUUUAUAUUGAAAAUUACUCCAUCAGUAAAGAGGGGUAAAGUCCAUAUUGAUUUUGCAAACCAACAUUAAAAAAAAACAGAUGAUACAAUGAC